rnacentral:rRNA from 1 species
GACGAACGCUGGCGGCGUGCUUAACACAUGCAAGUCGAACGGAAAGGCCCUGCUUUUGUGGGGUGCUCGAGUGGCGAACGGGUGAGUAACACGUGAGUAACCUGCCCUUGACUUUGGGAUAACUUCAGGAAACUGGGGCUAAUACCGGAUAGGAGCUCCUGCUGCAUGGUGGGGGUUGGAAAGUUUCGGCGGUUGGGGAUGGACUCGCGGAUUAUCAGCUUGUUGGUGGGGUAGUGGCUUACCAAGGCUUUGACGGGUAGCCGGCCUGAGAGGGUGACCGGCAACAUUGGGACUGAGAUACGGCCCAGACUCCUACGGGAGGCAGCAGUGGGGAAUAUUGCACAAUGGGCGGAAGCCUGAUGCAGCAACGCCGCGUGCGGGAUGACGGCCUUCGGGUUGUAAACCGCUUUCGCCUGUGACGAAGCGUGAGUGACGGUAAUGGGUAAAGAAGCACCGGCUAACUACGUG